rnacentral:rRNA from 1 species
UACGAAGGGGGCUAGCGUUGCUCGGAAUGACUGGGCGUAAAGGGCGCGUAGGCGGAUGUCUUUGUCGGGCGUGAAAUUCCAGGGCUUAACCUUGGGGCUGCGUUCGAGACGGGUUGUCUUGAGUGGGGAAGAGGGUCGUGGAAUUCCCAGUGUAGAGGUGAAAUUCGUAGAUAUUGGGAAGAACACCGGUGGCGAAGGCGGCGACCUGGUCCUUUACUGACGCUGAGGCGCGAAAGCGUGGGGAGCAAACAGG